rnacentral:rRNA from 1 species
AGAGUUUGAUCAUGGCUCAGAUUGAACGCUGGCGGAAUGCUUUACACAUGCAAGUCGAACGGCAGCACGGGGCAACCUGGUGGCGAGUGGCGAACGGGUGAGUAAUACAUCGGAACGUGCCCAAUCGUGGGGGAUAACGUAGCGAAAGUUACGCUAAUACCGCAUACGAUCUACGGAUGAAAGCGGGGGAUCGCAAGACCUCGCGCUAUUGGAGCGGCCGAUGUCAGAUUAGGUUGUUGGUGGGGUAAAAGCCUACCAAGCCGACGAUCUGUAGCUGGUCUGAGAGGACGACCAGCCACACUGGGACUGAGACACGGCCCAGACUCCUACGGGAGGCAGCAGUGGGGAAUUUUGGACAAUGGGCGCAAGCCUGAUCCAGCCAUGCCGCGUGCGGGAAGAAGGCCUUCGGGUUGUAAACCGCUUUUGUCAGGGAAGAAACGCUCCGGGCUAAUACCUUGGGGUAAUGACGGUACCUGAAGAAUAAGCACCGGCUAACUACGUG